CAUAUCAACUUUCGAUGCCAUUGACUGCGCCUACCAUGGUGACCACGGGUAAUGGGGAAUCAGGGUUCCAUUCCA
rnacentral:rRNA from 1 species